GGUUGGACCAGAUACACCCAGAGGUCGCUGCCAACCUCAAUCAUCCUGUGAUUCCUUCUAUCACAUGCAUCUAGCAGAAUUGGAACCUGUAAUAAUCUGUAAGAAAAGCACUUUCUGUCUGGGUUGAGGGCACUGACAACAGCUCAAGCAAUAUGCCUGAAAGAAACACGAGUGCCUGCAGUGAGCAGCUGCCCAGGUAACACCAUCCCUUGUUCUUUGCCCACCCAGCUCCCAAAAAGAAUCCAGUGCCUGACCUGUAUGAGGUUUCUGAAAGACCUGGAGGAACACACAGAGCUGCUAUCAUAAUUGAGUAACUUUUCUGAGCAGCUUGCAUGGUUCUGUAAAGAGUAUGAGCCAAAGAAGCUCCUGAGUGGCUAGAAGGGACAUAGUCCAAGGAGUUCCUCACAAUACCAUCAAAGAAGAGAGAUGCACCUAUACUUGCACAGUCCGUCGGGGUCCUUACUUCACAGAUGCCUAGGAGCAGCUAUUAUGAACUUUUGUCUUUGCUCUCAGCUUUUGAAUUAGACAUGUAACUGAACAAAGAAAGCAACCGUAAGGCAAGUGUGACCUCAGAGAACAAAUAUAAACUUGCUUCCGAGGAAAGGGGAAAAUGGAGAAAGAACUCUGAGGACACUUCAGAAAGAUAUGUUGCAAUCGUUAAGUCAGUAAAAAUGCAUUUUAAAAAACAGUCUGAGCUUCUACUUUUGUUCCUGAAAUUACUUCGUUUUAUAGCAGUGAUGCAUUAUAGUGCUUUAAUUUGCAAUAAAAUUGAUCCUCAAAAAUUAUUCUAAAUAAAAUACUUCUUCCAAGGGUUUUGGACUUUAAGAUCCUGUCUUGUCAUCUUUCUGUAUUUACCCUUAUGGGAAAAGCCUCAGUAUCCGUAGACAACGCUGGUUUGACAGCCUAUUUGUGUUCCUUUCGAUUUUGGUGGUAUAUUUUUUUGUCCUUCUAAUCACCACGUGAACUCUUGAGAAAGGUGAAAAUUAAAACCUCAGCAAGUUCUGACCUGCUAAAAGGGAAGGGAAAAAUAAUUUCACAGGGGAAGCAACUUCUGAAAAAAGGUCUGUGCUCUCAAAAACCCUACCAGACAAAAAAAAAAAAAACAACAAAAAAAAACCAAAAAAAAACAACGACAAACACCACACUCUCUCUCUGGCUGCUCUGACGCUCAGGCUAAGAAGUGACGCGCUGUUUGCGCUAUUUUACAAAUAACACCCACAGCAGUGAAACUCCGAACGAGAAGCACGGCACAACAGCGGGGGGCUCCGGGCUGCCGACCCCCGCCCGCGCGACCUCGGGGACCCUCCCGGGACGCGGCACCGAGCGGCGGGGCCCCGGGGCUCCUCUGGGCACGGCCACGGCC
rnacentral:lncRNA from 1 species